rnacentral:rRNA from 1 species
GACGAACGCUGGCGGCGUGCUUAACACAUGCAAGUCGAACGGAAAGGCCCCCAUCUUGGUGGGGGUGCUCGAGUGGCGAACGGGUGAGUAACACGUGGGUGAUCUGCCCUGUACUUCGGGAUAAGCUUGGGAAACUGGGUCUAAUACCGGAUAGGACCAUGGUUUAGUGUCUCAUGGUGGAAAGAUUAUUGUUUUGGUGCAGGAUGAGCUCGCGGCCUAUCAGCUUGUUGGUGGGGUAAUGGCCUACCAAGGCGUCGACGGGUAGCCGGCCUGGGAGGGUGGACGGCCACAUUGGGACUGAGGUACGGCCCAGACUCCUACGGGAGGCAGCAGUGGGGAAUAUUGCACAAUGGGAGCAAGCCUGAUGCAGCGACGCCGCGUGGGGGAUGACGGCCGUCGGGUUGGAAACUCUUUUCGUUAGGGACGAAGCCGCACUUUUUUUGGGUGUGGUGACGGUACCUUUGUGAAGAAGCACCGGCUAACUACGUG